ACGCUUGAACCUCAGAGAGGGAAGGAUUCCCAGGGCAGAAAUAAGUUUGGGUGCAUUUCGAGCUUUCUGUUUCUGCUUGUUUGCUUUUGCAGGCGCUCACUCCGAAUGCGCGUGGAGCGCCCCACAGCACCACCGCCCUCCGCGCGCUGGCGCGCACACGCCCCCCGCCAGCCUGGGCGCCCGGCUGCGAACCCCGGGUCUGCAAACUUGAGGAUCUCCCCUCGUCGCGCCCGCCAGACAACUUAGCGAGCACCUCACGCGCCCGUACCCCCCUUCCUCCAGCCCUUCCUCCAAAUCCCAAGCCCACCGUCGCGUUCCAGAGAAGGUGCCCACGUCGCCCCGAGAUCCAGGAGCGCCCCCUCUCCACCCCCGGGGCUUCCCAGGUCGCUCACUCCUCCCGCACCCCCUCAGCUCUGCGGGAGACCGAAAACACACUACGUCUGGGGCAGCCAGGGCCGAAACUGUCAAGAGGAGAAAAGAGAUCGCUGGAGAUGGCGAGCUCCGAGACUCCCUCUAUCUUCUGUUUUCAGAGCAACUCUAUGCCCAGAGACUGAAACGAAGAUCAGCGAGAUGAUCCUGUGCCUACUUCUGAGAAUCUCUCGGGAACAGCACUCGGCCCCAUCUGCAGCCAGACUGAGAAGAGACAAAUGCGAUCAUCCACGUUGGGGAAUCGCAGGUAGCUCCCUGCCAGCCCACCCCAGAACUGAGGAGAAACUAAAAAGGAAUUCGACCUGGCCCAACACCCCAAGGAAGGAGGAGGAUGGGGGGACGUGGCACUUUUUACUUCGGGAUGGGACGCCCAGUGGGUUUCCAGAUUGGUUUGAUACAUCUGUGUCUAAAACAGGUUUUAGGUCUUGAACCGCCCGGGACAGCCAAUUUCUGGUGUGGCUGAAAGAGGUGGCUUUCAGCCCCUUCCCUGCUUUCUCUGAGAAGGAUCCAGAAACCACUUGGCAGGGCAGUUUCUACUGAAGAAAACUUUGGCCUGUUUGGUUGAUGACUAUCUAAGCUGGUUGUAAUAUGGCAUACUGCAUCUAGUUCUGUGUGGCUGCUAAUUGUCAAUUCCCACUGGUAAUCUUACUAUUAAACCUGCAGUCUCAUCCAUAAAAGAUAUACUGGAGAGGCAUUAAUAAUGUCUCGGUGAUAAAGUUCAGAUAAUUAACAGCUCUUAAUAAUUCACAUCAUUGUAGACAUCAUUCUGCACCUCCCUUCCAUUGAAACACACCCAUCACAUAGUAGGUGUU